rnacentral:rRNA from 1 species
AGUGAACGCUGGCGGUAGGCCUAACACAUGCAAGUCGAACGGCAGCACAGGAGAGCUUGCUCUCUGGGUGGCGAGUGGCGGACGGGUGAGGAAUACAUCGGAAUCUACUUUUUCGUGGGGGAUAACGUAGGGAAACUUACGCUAAUACCGCAUACGACCUACGGGUGAAAGCAGGGGACCUUCGGGCCUUGCGCGAUUGAAUGAGCCGAUGUCGGAUUAGCUAGUUGGCGGGGUAAAGGCCCACCAAGGCGACGAUCCGUAGCUGGUCUGAGAGGAUGCUCAGCCACACUGGAACAGAGACACGGGCCAGACUCCUACGGGAGGCAGCAGUGGGGAAUAUUGGACAAUGGGCGCAAGCCUGAUCCAGCCAUACCGCGUGGGUGAAGAGGGCCUUCGGGUUGUAAAGCCCUUUUGUUGGGAAAGAAAUCCAGCUGGCUAAUACCCGGUUGGGAUGACGGUACCCAAGGAAUAAGCACCGGCUAACUUCGUGCCAGCCGCCGCCGUAA